GACGAACGCUGGCGGCGUGCUUAACACAUGCAAGUCGAACGAAGUGGCGAACGGGUGAGUAACGCGUAAUCAACCUGCCCUUCAGAGGGGGACAACAGUUGGAAACGACUGCUAAUACCGCAUACUGAAGGAGGGGAUUGCGUCUGAUUAGCUAGUUGGAGGGGUAACGGCCCACCAAGGCGAUGAUCAGUAGCCGGUUUGAGAGGAGGAACGGCCACAGUGGGACUGAGACACGGCCAAGACUGCUACGGGAGGCAGGAGUGGGGAAUCUUCCGCAAUGGACGAAAGUCUGACGGAGCAACGCGGGGUGGGUGAUGACGGCCGUGGGGUUGUAAAGCUUUGUUAAUCGGGACGCGGUACCGGAAUAGAAAGCCACGGAUAACUACGUGCCAGCCGCCGGGGUAAUAC
rnacentral:rRNA from 1 species